UCAGGAUGAACGCUAGCUACAGGCUUACACAUGCAAGUCGAGGGGAAACGAUGGAGAAGCUUGCUUUUCCAGGCGUCGACCGGCGCACGGGUGAGUAACACGUAUCCAACCUUCCCAUCACCCGGGGAAGUAACCUUGCGAAAGCAAGCCUAAUGCCCCAUGCGGUCCGCCGACGGCAUCAGAAACGGACCAAAGGCUCCGGCCGGUGAUGGAUGGGGAUGCGCCUGAUUAGGCAGUAGGCGGGGCAACGGCCCACCUAGCCGACGAUCAGUAGGGGUUCUGAGAGGAAGGUCCCCCACAUUGGAACUGAGACACGGUCCAAACUCCUACGGGAGGCAGCAGUGAGGAAUAUUGGUCAAUGGGCGAGAGCCUGAACCAGCCAAGUAGCGUGAGGGAAGACUGCCCUAUGGGUUGUAAACCUCUUUUGCGCGGGGAUAAAGUGGGUGACGUGUCGCCCAUUGCAGGUACCGCGCGAAUAAGGACCGGCUAAUUCCGUGCC
rnacentral:rRNA from 1 species